UUUGACAGUUAAACAGAUUGAACGCUGGCGGGUAGCACCACCCGCUUAUGCAAGUCAGACAGCACGGACUUCGGUCUGGUGGCGAGUGGCGAACGGGUGAGUAAUCAUAUCCGGAACGUGCUGGUAGCGGGGAUAACUACGCGAAAGCGUAGCUAAUACCGCACGCCCGCUGUCGGGGAAAAGCGAGGGGACCUUCGGGCUGUCGCACUAUUAAACGGCCGAUAUCGGAUUAGCUAGUUGGUGGGGUAACGGCUCACCAAAGGCGACGAUCCGUAGCUGGUUUAGAGGACGACAACUGCGCCGGACUGGUGCUUCAGACUCCUGGGACGCAGCAGUGGGGGUACCUGGACAAUGGAAGCCUGAUCAGCCAUCCCGCGUGCCGAUGAAGGCCGCUGGAUGCUCAAACACUUUUGGCAGGGAAAGAAACGGCACGGGAUAAUACCCCGUGCAGCAGCUGUACCUACGCGGGAAUGGCGCGCAGCCUUUACGUGCAGCAGCCGCGAUGGCCACGUAGGGUGCAAGCGUUAAUCGAUUCUGGGCGUAAACAUUGCGCAGGCGGUUCGGAAAAAGAUGUGAAAUCCCAGAGCUUAACUUUGGAACUGCAUUUUUAACUACCAGCGAAACUAGAGUGUGUCAGAAGGAGGUGGAAUUCGCGUGUAGCAGUGAGAAAUGCAUGUAGAUAUGCGUAUCCUGGGAUGCUGCUGACGCUCAUGCGAAAAGCGUGAGAGCAAACAGGAUUAGAUACCCUGUGUUGUCGCCCUAGACGAUAUUAUUUACUGUUGGGGCCUUCGGGCCUUGGUGGCGCAAUGCUGCGUGAAGUUGACCGCCUGGGGAAGUACGGUCGCAAGAUUGGCUCUAUGGCGAAGGUCAUUGGCGGGGACCCGCACAAGCGGUGGAUGUGGUUCAAUUCGAUGCAACGCGAAAAGCGCACUACCCUUGACAUGUCUGCGGGAAUCGAAGAGAUUUGGGAGUGCUCGCAAGGGAAGACGCCGGAACACAGGUGCUGCAUGGCUGUCGUCAGCUCGUGUCGUGAGAUGUUGGGUAAGUCCCGCAACGAGCGCAACCUUAAUCAUUAGUUGCUACGAAGGGCACUCUAAUGCGAUUCGCGGUGACAAACCGGAGGAGGUGGGGAUGACGUCAAGUCCUCAUGGCCCUUAUGGUGAGACUACGUCAUACAAUGGUCAGGACAGAGGUCGCCAACCCGCGAGACGAUAAAAACCCGAUCUGUGUUAGUCAGAUCUGAUCUGCAACUCGACUGCGUGAAGUCGGAAUCAUGGCGUAAUCACGGAUCAGCAUGUCGCGGUGAAUACGUUCCAGGUCUUGUACACACCGCCAAAAUCACUACCAUGGGAGUGGGUUUUACCAAGUAGUUAGCCUAACCGUAAGGAGGGCGAUUACGGUAGGAUUCAUGACUGGGUUAGUCGUAACAAAGGGUAG
rnacentral:rRNA from 1 species